GUGCUUCAGCAGCUCAUAUACUAAAAUUGGAACGAUACAAAGAAGAUUAUCAUGGCCCCUGCACAAAUAAUAUAUUUUUAUAACUCACUCAAUAUUCUU
rnacentral:snRNA from 1 species